rnacentral:rRNA from 1 species
CCUACGGGAGGCAGCAGUGAGGAAUAUUGGUCAAUGGGCGGAAGCCUGAACCAGCCAAGUAGCGUGCAGGAUGACGGCCCUACGGGUUGUAAACUGCUUUUAUACGGGAAUAACGCGCCUUACGUGUAGGGCUUUGCAUGUACCGUAUGAAUAAGGACCGGCCAAUUCCGUGCCAGGAGCCGGGGUAAUACGGAAGGACCGGGCGUUAUCCGGAUUUAUUGGGUUUAAAGGGAUCGUAGGCCGCAUGGCAAGCGUGCUGUGAAAUGUCCGGGCUCAACCCGGGCCUUGCAGCGCGAACUGGCGUGCUUGAGUCCGCGGAAAGCAGGCGGAAUGCGUCGUGUAGCGGUGAAAUGCUUAGAUAUGACGAAGAACCCCGAUUGCGAAGGCAGCUUGCUGCAGCGGAACUGACGCUGAUGCUCGAAAGCGCGGGUAUCGAACAGGAUUAGAUACCCGAGUAGUC